rnacentral:rRNA from 1 species
CACGUAGGGCGCAAGCGUUGUCCGGAAUUAUUGGGCGUAAAGAGCUCGUAGGCGGUCUGUUGCGUCCGCUGUGAAAACUCGGGGCUUAACCCCGAGCCUGCAGUGGAUACGGGCAGACUAGAGGUAGGUAGGGGAGAAUGGAAUUCCCGGUGUAGCGGUGAAAUGCGCAGAUAUCGGGAGGAACACCGGUGGCGAAGGCGGUUCCUGGCAUGGCC